rnacentral:rRNA from 1 species
AGCGGCCGCGGUAAUUCCAGCUCCAAUAGCGUAUAUUAAAGUUGUUGCAGUUAAAAAGCUCGUAGUUGAAUUUCGGGAUCAAGGAAUCGGUCAUGCCUCGGUAUGUACUGGUUUUAUUGGUUCUCACCUUCUAAAGAACCAUGAUGUCAUUCAUUUGAUGUUAUGGGGAAUUAGGACUGUUACCUUAGAAAAAAUUAGAGUAGUUUAAAGCAGGCUUACGCUUGAAUACAUUAGCAUGGAAUAAUGAAAUAGGACAUCAGAUUCUAUUUUGUUGGUUUCUAGGAUCGAUGUAAUGAUUAAUAGGGAUAGUUGGGGGCAUUAGUAUUCAAUUGUCAGAGGUGAAAUUCUUGGAUUUAUUGAAGACUAACUACUGCGAAAGCAUUUGCCAAGGAUGUUUUCAUUAAUCAAGAACGAAAGUUAGGGGAUCGAAGACGAUCAGAUACCGUCGUAGUCUUAACCAUAAACUAUGCCGACUAGGGAUCGGAUGAUGUUAAUUUUUUAAUGUACUCAUUCC